UACGUAGGGUGCGAGCGUUAAUCGGAAUUACUGGGCGUAAAGCGUGCGCAGGCGGUUUGUUAAGACAGGUGUGAAAUCCCCGGGCUUAACCUGGGAACUGCAUUUGUGACUGGCAAGCUAGAGUAUGGCAGAGGGGGGGUAGAAUUCCACGUGUAGCAGUGAAAUGCGUAGAGAUGUGGAGGAAUACCGAUGGCGAAGGCAGCCCCCUGGGCCAAUACUGACGCUCAUGCACGAAAGCGUGGGGGAGCAAACGAGG
rnacentral:rRNA from 1 species